rnacentral:rRNA from 1 species
AAAAACAGAUUAAAAUUAAUUUAAGUAUUAAAUGUUAAAUCAUUAAAUAUAAUUAAUUUGGCGGUAUUUAAUUUAAAUUAGAGGAAUAUGUAAAUUUAAAUUGAUAAUCCACGAUAAGAAAAACUUUAUAUUAUUCUUAAGUAUUGUUGUUUAAAUAAAAUUUUAUUAGAAAUUUUUAGAUAAAUUUAAGUUUAAAUUUUAAUUCAAAUCAAUGUUUAGAAUUUUAAAGAAUUUAUGUAUUACAAUAAUAUGAGAUUUAUGGAUUAAUAAUUUUAAUAUUAUUAUUAAAGAGGAUUUAAGAGUAAAAUUAUAAAAUUUUAUAAUUUGAAAAUUAUUUUUAAAUAUGU